rnacentral:tRNA from 1 species
GAGGGUAUAGAUCAGUGGCAGAGUGCAUGCUUAGCAUGCAUGAAAUACUGGGUUCGAUUUCCAAUACCUCA